rnacentral:rRNA from 1 species
UUACCUGCAAGUCGAACGGUAACAGGUCUUCGGAUGCUGACGAGUGGCGAACGGGUGAGUAAUACAUCGGAACGUGCCCGAUCGUGGGGGAUAACGGAGCGAAAGCUUUGCUAAUACCGCAUACGAUCUACGGAUGAAAGCAGGGGACCGCAAGGCCUUGCGCGGACGGAGCGGCCGAUGGCAGAUUAGGUAGUUGGUGGGAUAAAAGCUUACCAAGCCGACGAUCUGUAGCUGGUCUGAGAGGACGACCAGCCACACUGGGACUGAGACACGGCCCAGACUCCUACGGGAGGCAGCAGUGGGGAAUCUUGGACAAUGGGCGCAAGCCUGAUCCAGCCAUGCCGCGUGCAGGAUGAAGGCCUUCGGGUUGUAAACUGCUUUUGUACGGAACGAAAAGACUCUGGUUAAUACCUGGGGUCCAUGACGGUACCGUAAGAAUAAGCACCGGCUAACUACGUGCCAGCAGCCGCGGUAAUACGUAGGGUGCAAGCGUUAAUCGGAAUUACUGGGCGUAAAGCGUGCGCAGGCGGUUAUGUAAGACAGAUGUGAAAUCCCCGGGCUCAACCUGGGAACUGCAUUUGUGACUGCAUAGCUAGAGUACGGCAGAGGGGGAUGGAAUUCCGCGUGUAGCAGUGAAAUGCGUAGAUAUGCGGAGGAACACCGAUGGCGAAGGCAAUCCCCUGGGCCUGUACUGACGCUCA